UACAGAGGUCUCGAGCGUUGUUCGGAUUCAUUGGGCGUAAAGGGCGCGUAGGCUGCGGGGUAAGUCAGGUGUGAAAUCUCAGAGCUCAACUCUGAAAUUGCACUUGAUACUGCUCUGCUAGAGGACUGGAGAGGAGAUUGGAAUUCACGGUGUAGCAGUGAAAUGCGUAGAUAUCGUAAGGAAGACCAGUGGCGAAGGCGGGUCUCUGGACAGUUCCUGACGCUGAGGCACGAAGGUCAGGGGAGCAAACGGG
rnacentral:rRNA from 1 species